UGUAUCUGAAGUCUGACGAGGAUGAGAACCUCCGGGGGCAAGAGGUUCGACUCGAGCGAAGCGAGAGAACGUUGCGUCAGCA
rnacentral:sRNA from 1 species